GGCGAACGCUGGCGGCAUGCCUAACACAUGCAAGUCGAGCGAGCAGAUCCCUUCGGGGUGAAGCUAGCGGCGGACGGGUGAGUAACACGUGGGCAACCUACCUCAUAGAGGGGAAUAGCCUUCCGAAAGGAAGAUUAAUACCGCAUAAGAUUGUAGCUUCGCAUGAAGCAGCAAUUAAAGGAGCAAUCCGCUAUGAGAUGGGCCCGCGGCGCAUUAGCUAGUUGGUGAGGUAACGGCUCACCAAGGCGACGAUGCGUAGCCGACCUGAGAGGGUGAGCGGCCACAGUGGGACUGAGACACGGCCCAGACUCCUACGGGAGGCAGCAGUGGGGAAUAUUGCACAAUGGGGGAAACCCUGAUGCAGCAAUGCCGCGUGAGUGAUGACGGCCUUCGGGUUGUAAAGCUCUGUCUUCGGGGACGAUAAUGACGGUACCCGAGGAGGAAGCCACGGCUAACUACGUGCCAGCCGCCGCGGUAA
rnacentral:rRNA from 1 species